GGGGGGGGGGCGCUACGCGGCCGACGCGCAUGCGCGUGCGGGACCCGGAUUGCGCCCCCCGGGCGGAGCUGAGGGGAUGGCAGAGGAGGGGGCGGCGGGACGGGACGGAGUGGGAUGGGGGCAUGGAUGGGGGGUCGGGAUGGGGUAUGGGUGGGUAUGGGGUGGUGUGCUGUAGGUUGGGGUAUGGGGUGAGGGUGGGAGGGGGAUGGGAUGGGGAUGAUUCAGGUUUGGGAUGCGUAUGGGAUGGGUAUGGGAUUGAUAUGGGAUGGGUAUGGUGUAGGUAUGAUAUAGGUAUGGAAUGGGUAUGGUAUAGGUUUGGGAUGAGUACGGUAUGGGUAUAGGAGGGGUAUGGGAUGGGUUUGGGAUGGGUAUGGUAUAGAUAUAGCAUGGGUACGGUAUAGGCAUGGUGUGGGUACGGUAUAGACAUGGGGUGGGUAUGGGAUGAGUAUGGGAUGGGAAUGGUAUAGGUUUGGGAUGAAUAUGAUAUAGGCAUGGGAAGGGUAUGGUAUAGGUUUGGGAUGGGUAUUGGUUGGGUGUGGGAUGGGAAUGGGAUGGAUAUGGGAUGGGAAUGGUAUAGGUUUGGGAUUGGUAUGGUAUAGGCAUGGUGUGGGUAUGGGAUCGAUAUGGAAUGGGUAUGGUAUAGGUAUGGGAUGGUUAUGGGAUGGAUAUAUUAUAGUUAUGGGAUGGGUAUAGGAUGCGUAUGGUAUAGGUAUAUAAUGGCUGUGGUAUAGGUAUGGUAUAGGUAAGGGCAUGGCAUGAGUACAGUAUGGGGGGGGCACGGUGUAGGUUGGGGAAUGGAAUAGGUAAUGUAUGGGAUGGGUAUGGUGUAGGUAUGGGAUGGGUAUGGUGUAGGUAUGGGUAUGGGAUGGGUAUGGUGUAGGUAUGGGGAUGGGAUGGGUAUGGUGUAGGUAUGAGGUGGGAUGGGUAUGGUGUAGGUAUGGGAUGGGAUGGGUAUGGGAUGGGUAUGGGAAGGGAUGGGAUGGGAUGGGUAUGGUGUAGAUAUGGGUAUGGGAUGGGUAUGGUGUAGGUAUGAGGUGGGAUGGGUAUGGUGUAGGUAUGGGAUGGGAUGGGUAUGGGAUGGGUAUGGGAAGAGAUGGGAUGGGAUGGAUAUGGUGUAGAUAUGGGUAUGGGAUGGGUAUGGUGUAAGUAUGGGAUGGGAUGGGUAUGGUGUAGAUAUGUGUAUGGGAGGUGCAUGGGAUGGGUAUGGUGUAGGUAUGGGUACGGGGUGGGUAUGAUGUAGGUAUAGGAUGGGAUGGGUAUGGUGUAGGUAUGGGUACGGGGUGGGUAUGAUGUAGGUAUAGGAUGGGAUGGGUAUGGUGUAGGUAUGGGUACGGGGUGGUGUAGGAAUGGUGAGGUGGGGGCAUGGUGAGGGUGGGGGGGUCACAGCACAGGGUGGGCACUGCAAUGGCGCAGGUCCGGGAUUUGAUGCCGAACUGC
rnacentral:lncRNA from 1 species